GUUUAACUUGAUAUUUUUAGGUUAGGGUUCACCUUCAUAUUAUUACAACAACAAACAAUAGAACAAUACCAAAAAUGUUGGUUUAAAAACGUCUACAGUAAUUUGUGAUAUAAUUAUUUAAUAUUUGAAAUCUAGUGCAUUAUAAUAAUUGGGAAUGAAGUAAUGAAAGUUGAGAAACGUACGGAGUGAGUGUUCUACAAAUUGUAGUUCAGGAAGGAAAUGAUUGCAUGUAGUGUAUAAAACGCUUAUUCAGAAUUGGAGAACUUGCAACAAAGAGCUCAGCAUGUAUAAAGGUAAAAUGACACCUCAUAAAAAUCAAUAUAUGGGAUUUGAAGCUACUUCAAAAUUUGCAGGCACCAUUGCCCAAAAAAUCAAAGAAAUGGAAGAAAAAACGGAGGCGUUUAAAGAGAGUUUCCAAGCUAAACUUUCAACUCGUCUGGGAGAACAACGUGAUGAAACUCGUGAUAAGCCUGUGGCUCUCAGCGAUACAUACCAAUCAGUUCAUUCUAAAAGGAAGUCAACCAGGAACGAUUUCGAAAACUUCAAGAUUAAUCGCUUUCAAAGAAUUGAAAGCCAUGUUGCUAAAGUUACAGAAGCUAGACGGUAUAUGUUGCACAAGAUUAAAAUUUUAGAAAAACGUAAUGGACAAAAAGAUAUCUCUAAAAUUAUUAUUGAUAAUACUAUUUCAGCAGUGAGAAUGCAGCAUGAAAAUGAAGUGGCUAUUGAAAUAAACAAAUCAAAAACAGUACCAGUCCGCUCACCAAAAAAGAAAUCAGUCAUAAGGUAUAAGUUGUAUCCAUUGAGAAUAAGAAUCACACCUAAUCAAUAAAGUGUUUACACGUUUACCUUCGUUAUUCUAGGAAUAAACCUUUGAAGUCUCCUGAAUCGUACGAACAGAAGCUAUCACUGAUAUUAAAUUUACGUGAACCGGAACAUAAAUUGUAUUAUAUCCAUAACAUUAUUUCAUUUGUCCUGUUACUUGACUUGGAUCCGAACUGGAACUGUGUUGUUUCCGAUGGGGUUUUCAGUUGAUUAUAUCUUUGAUGCUACAAUGUAGGUUUUCAUUACAUAUCUGAACACAUAUGCAACAAACUAAAGCUUAUGUAUGGACGGAUAUUUCAAAUUGUACGUUGCUACGUCAUCAUAACUUGGAACUAUUGCAACGCUGGAAGACAAUUGUUGAAAAACAAUCUGGAAAUGACACUACAAAUUGUUAUUGGACGAACUGUGAGUAAGAACAUUGUUACUGGGAAUAAAUAAUUUGUGUUUAAUCCUAAAUCAAUUAUACUGUGCUCAACAUGAAACUGUAAAUAGUUCUCAGUGUUCAAAUUAUUACUAAGUACGGUACUACUGAAGUAUUGAAUAGUAUAUAAAAUAAAAUGUGUUGAAUGACAUGUUAGAUUCAAUAGUUAAUUGUUUACAUCCUUUCAAAUUAAAAUUUAUUUCUCAAAAAACAUACACAAUUAUAAUAAUAUAAUAUCUAAAAAAUAAUACAAGAAAAAUACUAAUAAAUAUAUAAAAUGAU